CUCUGAUAAUUAAUAUAUUAAUUAUAAAUAUAAACAUUCAAAACCCAAAGAAAGGGUAGUCCAGAGCUUAAACAAAAAAACACCAGGCCCAACAUUGGCCCAAACAACAUUAGAAACCACGUUCAUAACACGUGUAACAGGAAGCGACGGAGACACGUGCAAGCCGCAUCUCCACGAUCUUCACCGAACCAUCCACGCGUCGACAUCCUCCACCGCUUUCACCGCCAUGCGAAAUCUACGCCGGUGAGUUCACCGGCGAUUCACCAUAGCCACCGUCUCCUACCGGAAUCAUCUCGGGAUCACGAACCUCCGUCAACAAUUCCGACUUCAGACUAUUUCACCCAACCAAACCGAACAAAUUUCCACCGGAAACUACCGGGAUGUCAACCACAAUCACCGAAAAAACCCACCUCCAACAACUGUAUUGGACGUAUUGGGCUUCAUCAGGUACGCCAGCACGUUUCAAAGAGCAUCCAUCGAUUAAAAACACACAAACACGAUACCAAAGUCGGAUGAUUCCACCUAAAAAGUCGCAAACCACCGAAGUCAAAGCCGGCUACACCGCAUCGAAGAGACCACCGUGUACCAGAAGCUAUGUUACAGAUCAGGAAGGAAGCAAAGAUGAGGGAACCACCACAAGUUCUCUUUAUCUCUCAACGUUCAUAAGAGAGAAAAGAGAGACUUUACCAUUCCCUUCGCUCAUCCGAUCUCAGAUCGUAAAAUAACUCAAGCCAAAGCCAACCUUAGAACCUUCCCUUUUUAUUUAUGAUUAUUGUUUUGUUUCUCCUAUGCUUGUAGACUCUGGUUCUCCUAUGUAUUUAUUUUCAAAUGACAAUUGUGUGAGCAAGAAGAUACACAGUUUUUUUUUUGCUAAAACAGAAGAUACACAGUAUUGAAGAAGGUAAUUAAAUUUUUUCUUUAUUAACGUUUAUGCGAUAACAUAUUCAUUGUCUUUGUAGACACAAUUUUAGUUAUUUCGAAACGUACAAUGAAAAUCUGCUCGAGAAAAGCCUGGAUGAUUUAGUAUGAUUUAGUAUUCAAGCUCUUGAGUCUUUCAUGGCAUCCACCACAUCAAAUGUACAAAACAUAGUUCAGACAGAAAAUGAAAAGACAGUGGAAUGUAGAGUUAUAACGGAAGAACUCUACUUUGUCCAAAAAAAAGGAAGAACUCGACAAGAUUUAAAACCCAACACCAAAAAGAAAAACAGUGAUAACAAAUAGAGGAAGUUAGAUGAAAUAACAAAGUUCGUUCGUUCAAUCUUUCUUACUACAAAUAGAAUUGUGAAUCAUGCAGAUGCAGGAUGCAGGAUGCAUGCACUGACAUAAUACAUCUAAAUAAACUGAAACGCCUUAUUACGCACCCAAAGAACAUUAUGCGUUCAUUUAAUUAUUAUUUUCAGUUCGUAAGAAUGCAGAUUUUAUUAAAUAGUAAUAGUCUGGAUUUCAGAAUUCAGAUGAAUGCAGUGGGGGAUUGAUUUUAUAGAGAUCACGUGAUAAAGUGAUGGGACAUUAGAUUUCGAAGGGCCCUUUCUGCCUAUGUAAACUUGGCAGGUGGCGAAGAGCCAUGGUACCUCUUCGUCUAAAAUGUGACGACCUGAUGCUCCGAUGAACCCAUAUCUUCAUCUCAUGUGCAUCUCACAUGCCAAGACAGUUGGAUUCUAUUUCUAAACUUUUCAUGCUUAAACAUACUAUACGCUUUCCCCUUUUUCUUAUUAUUAUUAACACCGAAUCAUGGCAAUUAAGUUGUGCAACAACUUUACAUAUUCAUUUUACCAAAUUAGAUGUAUGCAAUUUUGUGAUACAAACCGAGUGGUAGUCUAACAGUAAUUUUUUGGACUUGAUUUCUUCGAUAACUAAAUUAUUAUUAUUUGACCAGUCUAGAUUUUUCAAAUCGAUAUUAAAUUUAUAUUCAAUGAUUUUUCCCCAAAUUCUUAGCAUAACUUUAAGACAUUAUAUAUUUAUUUGGAUACAAUAACUAAGAUCUCUUGUCUAUAUUACAAAAACAAAUUUUUUAAGUUUUGUUCUAAUAUUUAUAUUUUGUAUCUUAUCAUCUUUGUUUUCUAAUUAUUUAUUUUAGAAAUUAUGUUUUAAUCAUCUAUUAAUUUUUGGUUGUAGUUUUGCAUCAACGGAGGUGAUUGGUUGAAUUGUAAUUGUAAUUGUAGAAAAUUUACUUUAAAAUUUAGUCUGUAGGAUUUUUUAUUUAGUUUUAAGGAAUAUAACUUUAAAAUUUUCUACGGCUAAAAAGAUGGGAGUUUAGAAAAUAAAAUUUUUACAACCAUUUUUUGUUUGUUUUUGUUGUAACUUUAGUUUUUUGGUCGUAAUUUUAAAAAUCAAGAUAAAACAUGAUUUAUAGUAUUUAAUGAUGCAGAUGAAAAUUAAAGGUAAAAUUUUAGUUUGCUUGAGUUUAGUGAAAAAUCAGUCAGAUUUAUUUUUAAAUUUUAUUUGAUCUUGGUAAAAAAGCAUCAUGAAUGGAAUAUCUUUUUCUUUUUAAUUUUAUUUAUAUCUUCUUAAAUUAAGUAUUUAUUAUAUUUUAUUGAUUUCUAUUUUAAUUGGUUUAUAUUACAAAUAUAUAUAUUUGACUAUCUAUUGAUUUUUGGUUGUUGAGACUUUCUUGAUAAGUUUCCUGAUCUUAUCUCCAACUUUUCUCAUGGGAAACACGUUUCUCCUAUUUUCUAUACUCUUUCUUGCUUUUCAGUUUUAAAUAUUGUUUUGUUUCUCCUUUUUUUUUUCUCUGAUAAUUAAUAUAUUAAUUAUAAAUAUAAACAUUCAAAACCCAAAGAAAGGGUAGUCCAGAGCUUAAACAAAAAAACACCAGGCCCAACAUUGGCCCAAACAACAUUAGAAACCACGUUCAUAACACGUGUAACAGGAAGCGACGGAGACACGUGCAAGCCGCAUCUCCACGAUCUUCACCGAACCAUCCACGCGUCGACAUCCUCCACCGCUUUCACCGCCAUGCGAAAUCUACGCCGGUGAGUUCACCGGCGAUUCACCAUAGCCACCGUCUCCUACCGGAAUCAUCUCGGGAUCACGAACCUCCGUCAACAAUUCCGACUUCAGACUAUUUCACCCAACCAAACCGAACAAAUUUCCACCGGAAACUACCGGGAUGUCAACCACAAUCACCGAAAAAACCCACCUCCAACAACUGUAUUGGACGUAUUGGGCUUCAUCAGGUACGCCAGCACGUUUCAAAGAGCAUCCAUCGAUUAAAAACACACAAACACGAUACCAAAGUCGGAUGAUUCCACCUAAAAAGUCGCAAACCACCGAAGUCAAAGCCGGCUACACCGCAUCGAAGAGACCACCGUGUACCAGAAGCUAUGUUACAGAUCAGGAAGGAAGCAAAGAUGAGGGAACCACCACAAGUUCUCUUUAUCUCUCAACGUUCAUAAGAGAGAAAAGAGAGACUUUACCAUUCCCUUCGCUCAUCCGAUCUCAGAUCGUAAAAUAACUCAAGCCAAAGCCAACCUUAGAACCUUCCCUUUUUAUUUAUGAUUAUUGUUUUGUUUCUCCUAUGCUUGUAGACUCUGGUUCUCCUAUGUAUUUAUUUUCAAAUGACAAUUGUGUGAGCAAGAAGAUACACAGUUUUUUUUUUGCUAAAACAGAAGAUACACAGUAUUGAAGAAGGUAAUUAAAUUUUUUCUUUAUUAACGUUUAU
rnacentral:lncRNA from 1 species